CGGGACGGGGUGGAGUAAUGUCUGGGAAACUGCCUGAUGGAGGGGGGUAACUACUGGAAACGGUAGCUAAUACCGCAUAACGUCGCAAGACCAAAGAGGGGGACCGUUCGGGCCUCUUGCCAUCGGAUGUGCCCAGAUGGGAUUAGCUAGUAGGUGGGGUAACGGCUCACCUAGGCGACGAUCCCUAGCUGGUCUGAGAGGAUGACCAGCCACACUGGAACUGAGACACGGUCCAG
rnacentral:rRNA from 1 species